rnacentral:lncRNA from 1 species
UUUGAACAUGCUGAACAAACCAGCAAUUUGGUGUGUGGGUCAAGAUGAAGUUCUUCAUUUAUCUGCUUUGCUGUACUGCACAUUUAACUACUGGCUGCGUGUUGUCAGCAUACGAUCCCUUGGAAAUUUUCAAGUCCUUGGAUGAGUCUGUGCUGUUGCCCUGCUCUUGCACUGACCCGCAGGCCACACCUGAGGGUGUUAAAUGGGAGACGACAAGCCGAACGGCCUCCACCAAAGCCCAAUGGAGCAGCCUGUCCAAUGUGAUUGAUAAAUAUGGACACAGAAUCCAGAUGUUUAACAAGUACUCUUCAGGGAACCUGUCUCUGCUUCUCACUGAACUGACUAAGGAGGACCAGGGUACUUAUGUCUGUGGAAAUGGGAUGAAGAACAGAUUUAUCCGGCUCUUUGUCACAGGUCCAGGAAAUCCACCUGUUAAUAUCAGCACAAAGCUCUGGUACCUAUACAUUCUCACCCCGGUGUUGCUGGUUUUACUGCUGGCAGGAGCUGCUGUGACCUUCUGGAGAUGCAGAAGGCAAACAAGAGCACAAAGACAGGAAAGGAAGAGACAGAUUGCUCAGACAACAGCACCACAGGAAGAGAACACUUCACCCACUGUACAUACCAGUCAUUCUAAAACACAGGACUCUGAAUCUGCAUAUGUCAACCUUGGCCAGAAUAGCACAUCUGGCCCAGUACAGGACAGUCCACUGUACUGCAGCCUGGCAUACAGGUAUGACCCUGAAGCAUAUUCCACUAUAGAGCACACUAAAAGACCAUUAGUCAAUCAGGUUGCUACACUGGACGCUUUCUACAGUAAUGCUGCGAGACAAACUGCACACAGCCAGCAGACUAGAGUUUAUGUCAAUCUUAAACCCUUACAGAAUUCACACUUACUCUAGUGUUUCUAACCCUGCUCCAUUCAAGAUGAUCCUCACUCUUCUCUACACCAGGAAAUGUACCAGUGACUACCAGUCAUCUACCCCAGAAAUCAUGUAACAUCAGAGAAUGUGAAACAGAGACUGAAAUCUAUAUUUGUGAGGUUUGGUAUCCCAGAGGUCCGACCCUGCAGCCAGGCUCUGUAGAUUACACAGUUGUGGAAAGGGUCCAAGUGGGGGUGUCAGCUGUGGGGCCUGUCAAAGCCCAUUGAGACAUACUGUAUGUGAAUAUGGGCUAUAUAAGAAAUAAAUGUUGAUGAGGACCAAGUGAACA